UAACGCGUAUGCAACCUACCUUUAACAGAGAGAUAGCCCUGAGAAAUUGGGAUUAAUAUCACAUAAUAUCAUAAUGCAGCAUUGUAUAAUGAUUAAAGCUCCGGCGGUUAAAGAUGGGCAUGCGUGACAUUAGUUAGUUGGUGAGGUAACGGCUCACCAAGACUUCGAUGUCUAGGGGUUCUGAGAGGAUUAUCCCCCACACUGGUACUGAGACACGGACCAGACUCC
rnacentral:rRNA from 1 species